rnacentral:lncRNA from 1 species
CCAGAUAAAUUACAUGAAAAUAUGUUAAAUUAAAUAAAUACAUUCACAUGAAAAUGAAACAUUAAAAAAAUGAAAAGAGAGCCAUUAGAUUAUAUUGAGUGUUCCACAAUGUAUACCGCUACAUAUCCUAUCAUUGGUUAAAAAUAUGAAAUUAUUAACUUUUUAAAUCAAAUAAUUUUAUAAUUCUAUUCUCUUGAUCAACUAGAUGUGGUGAUGUAUAAAGUACUACUCACUCUUAUGCUAAAAGAUCAGAAAUUUUAUACUCUACUAUUAUAUGUUAUUAUACUUGUCAUCCAUAAGAAAUAAUAAUCGUUUAAAAAUAUAGAUUAAAAAACAAGUUACUAUAAUUUUUAAUAAGGUGAUUGUUUCUUAUUGGUUGUAAAAAUAAUGAGAUAAAAUAGUGAAGUGAAAAAAAAUCUAUGUAAAGGAUAUGUUAUUCUAAGUAUGGGUGGCAGUAUAGGACACCCCGACCCGUCUUUGACCCGUCAAAAUAUGGGCUGGCCCAACAUGAUUCACCUUUGGCCCACCAAAAUAUGGACUAGUUCGACCCGACUCCUAUUGCUAAAGUGGCUCAAAAUGCUAGCCCAAUGCAUAUUUGGCAGGGCGAGCUGACCCAAUUUUUUUCAAAACACACAUUUAUAACCAACUUUUAAAACAUAAAUAUCUUUUAAAACAAAAAAAUCACAACCAAAAUCCACAAUAACAUACCAUCUUGGUUUAAAACUUGUAAGUUCUAAACAACAAGCUAGAAUAAUCUUAAAUUUUUAGAUUCUUAGUUCACAAUAAAACUUCUAACUCCUAAGUUUUCAAUAAAAAUGGUCAGCCUGACCCAACCCGGUCUGGCCUGCCUUUGGCCCACCAAAAUAUGGGUUAACCUAGCCCAGACCUUAAUGCUAAAAGGGCUCAAAUCCCCAAUCCGACCUACUAAAUUUUGUAAUCCAAACGGGCUAGCCUAUCGGGUCAAACCCCUAUUGACAUCCCUAAUUCUAAGUGAAUGAUGGGAUACUUAUCCAGCUAGAAAUUAAAAUAUAAUAAAAAAGCAUUAGAAAGAUGGUAAUUUGAGUGUGUGAGUGAAGAAUAAGAAUGCACUCCAUUAAUGGAGAAAGAAAUACUUAAUUUUAUAUGUGUUUUAAUGACAAAAUUAUUAUUAUAUUGUAUAUAAAAGAAUAAAAUGUCUUAUCCUAUUAUUAUUUCCUUUAUUCUUUAUAGUAUUUAUUUUUCCAUUAACGGAGAAGAAAUGAAUGAGGACACAUUCAAAAUCACAAUGUUAUAAGUCUCAUAUAGUGUACUAAGAUAUCAAUGAAUGAUCAUCAAAAGUCAAACACAAGACAUUUUAGUUCAUAGAAUUUAAUGUUAACAGUUGAGAGCCAUUAAUUAGUUAGCAUAAGAAGCAGAUCUGAAGAAGGAAAAUAUUAUCUCAACUACAAAUAAUUUUACCUUUACCCAAACCUAACAUUUCUCUCCCUCUAGUUUAAAGAUGAGAGACAAAAUUAAGGCAUUGAAUCAAAGUAGAUUUUGGAACCUUUGCAUUAGUAAACAAGGAAAGUUAAGAACAUAAAGAGAAAAGAAGAUCUAAGUGCUUUGCAUAGCACAUAAUAUUAUGAGCUAUGAAGGGGUAGUGCAUGCCCAAUAAAAUAAAUAUUAAACGUUCAUUUUAGGUUUUAGAGGGAAAGGAAAAACUUCAGAGCCAUGCAAUAUACUUAUGAGAUGACUUUGAAGUUUUUUAUUUCCUUUUCCUCUAAACCUCGACUCCCAAAUGGACCCUAAGCAAAUUUUUUUAAUGGUGAGACUCUUAGAGGCGAUACAAUAGAAGGGGAUAGAGAACGGAAAAAGGUUAGGAACAUACUUUCGGGAGAUUGAACCCGAGCACUCACACGUUAUAUCCCGCAACUCUACUAACCGACUUUAGGGCGAACAUUAAGUAAAUUUUAAAUGAGAAAACUCCUUUUGAAGGUACUUGAAUGAUGUUGGAUUGACUUGCAUGAACAAGUAAUUCCCAGCAAAAAGAUCACCAAAAUGACCUUGACCAUCCUUGAAUCUUUUCACCACCUUAGCAAAUGAAAUUCUCAUAGCAGAAACAAGCCUGAACUUUUUCCUCCACAGUUUUCUCAAGCUUGGAAUUCUCAACCUGAACCUUCUCCUCAUAUGAAUCCUUCUUAACCUAAACCAGUUAUUAUUCUUUGGUCUCAAAAUCACUCUUUCACUAAUUUCAUCAUCUGACCAAGUUUUAGGUUUAAGUCUUUGGUAGCUAAACUUUCUAAAAGAAGCCAUUUUGGAAUGAAAACACUGAAGACAAACUCAAACAAAAUUGUGAGAAAUAUAUGUAAUUUUUUAUCCUAAUUGAAAGGACAUGGUUUUGUGAAUUGAGUUGUUGGUUUUGUAAUCUGAAAAUAUGAAAUGAAAGAGAAUUGUGAAGGGAAUGGCUAGAUUGGGUGACUAUGCAGAAGUUGUUG